CCGGCCGGAAGGCGAGACUCCGCGGGAAAAGCGCCUCUGGUUGGUAGACCGGUAGGUUUCUGGCUGAGGCCGUUUCCUCAAGAGCCACCGUGGGUCUGUGCUAGGGUCACGCCACCGGCCUCCGUUUCCUUUAUCCUCCUCUCUCACCAAACGCUUUUCCUGUCCAGUUAUAAAGUCAAGUUGUUUCCCUAAGAUGCAAACCUGACAAAAGUGAUUCAUACGUUUCCAGCCCAUGACACAGAUCUUUGCAACGUGCCCUGCUGUCCAACACACUCUAAAACUAAAGCUACUGAAAUAAGAAUUCAUCAUUUUGAAGAUACAAUUACUACUUCACUUUAACAAACAGGGAGUGCUCUUGGGAUCAACACCUGUGGAAAAUGAGCUGUAGUGCAUUCCCAACAAAGACCUCAGCCAACCUCACAGGUGAUUUUUUUCAAAUGAGAGCUGACAACUGAGGGCCAUCUUCUUUUAGGACUCACAUUAGCUGGUGAAGUAAGUCCUUCAUCCCUGAAGGGGGAUCUGAGUGGCACAUCACAAUGUCCACCAGAAGUGUUUGGACCUCUCACUCUGCAGAGCCCAGAAUUGUGGAGAUGGGAAACACAAAAUCCCUUGGCAGGUCAUUAGAAGUGAUGGGCUUGCUACAAACACACUGCACCUGUUAUCACAACUGAUACAGCACCCCAGGAUCUGCUGGAUUGUAUGACUCAAGUGGUAGAGCCACUUGCACCAUAACCUGUACCUUCUACAGAGCUCUCUCCUGUUCCUGGCCCCAUUCAAAGCUGG
rnacentral:lncRNA from 1 species